UACGGGGGGGGGCUAGCGUUGUUCGGAAUUACUGGGCGUAAAGGGCGCGUAGGCGGCCUACUAAGUCGGACGUGAAAUCCCUCGGCUCAACCGGGGAACUGCGUCUGAUACUGGCGGGCUUGAAUUCGGGAGAGGGAUGUGGAAUUCCAGGUGUAGCGGUGAAAUUCGUAGAUAUCGGGAGGAACACCAGUGGCGAAGGCGCUGACCUGGACGAUGAUUGACGCUGAGGCGCGAAAGCGUGGGGAGCAAACAGG
rnacentral:rRNA from 1 species